rnacentral:rRNA from 1 species
AGAGUUUGAUCCUGGCUCAGAUUGAACGCUGGCGGCAUGCCUUACACAUGCAAGUCGAACGGCAGCACGGGAGCAAUCCUGGUGGCGAGUGGCGAACGGGUGAGUAAUAUAUCGGAACGUGCCCAGUCGUGGGGGAUAACGUAGAGAAAUUUACGCUAAUACCGCAUACGAUCUAAGGAUGAAAGCGGGGGACCGUAAGGCCUCGCGCGAUUGGAGCGGCUGAUAUCAGAUUAGGUUGUUGGUGAGGUAAAAGCUCACCAAGCCGAUGAUCUGUAGCUGGUUUGAGAGAACGACCAGCCACACUGGGACCGAGACACGGCCCAGACUCCUACGGGAGGCAGCAGUGGGGAAUUUUGGACAAUGGGCGAAAGCCUGAUCCAGCAAUGCCGCGUGCAGGAAGAAGGCCUUCGGGUUGUAAACUGCUUUUGUACGGAACGAAAAGGUCUGCCCUAAUACGGCGGGCCCAUGACGGUACCGUAAGAAUAAGCACCGGCUAACUACGUGCCAGCAGCCGCGGUAAUACGUAGGGUGCGAGCGUUAAUCGGAAUUACUGGGCGUAAAGCGUGCGCAGGCGGUGAUGUAAGACAGUUGUGAAAUCCCCGGGCUCAACCUGGGAAUUGCAUCUGUGACUGCAUCGCUAGAGUACGGUAGAGGGGGAUGGAAUUCCGCGUGUAGCAGUGAAAUGCGUAGAUAUGCGGAGGAACACCGAUGGCGAAGGCAAUCCCCUGGACCUGUACUGACGCUCAUGCACGAAAGCGUGGGGAGCAAACAGGAUUAGAUACCCUGGUAGUCCACGCCCUAAACGAUGUCAACUGGUUGUUGGGUG